rfam:Bacillus selenatarsenatis SF-1 DNA, contig: BSSF00015.
ACAAUGUUCCGCUGCAAUGAAAGUGUGCAAGAGCAUUCG